GCAACUUGUUUCACUUUGACAGUUUGGAUCAGUGUCGGAGUCUGGGUCUUUUCCUGUGUAAUUCAGUGAGUUGCAGAGAGAGAGCACAGUCAACAGAGCUGCAGGAUGGCUCAUCAGCAGGAUGGACUGUUUCCUCAACCACUGCUCAAAGCUUUCAGUGUUCUGAUCUUCCACAUUCUCCUAAAGGAUGUCUGUAAUGGUCAGCCUCAGUUGAUUGGUCCAUCUCAGGCACUGGUGGCAAGAGCUGGUGAUGAUGUAAUUUUGCCAUGUCAUCUGGAACCUGCAUACGAUGUUUCUACAAAGACACUGGAGUGGACAAGAUCUUCGCUUGACCCUAGAUUUGUCUAUGUUUCACGUGCCAGUCAGGAACUCGAAAAAUUAAAAAAUCCUUCUUUCAAAGGAAGGACGUCAUUGUUUGUUGAUGAACUCAAGUAUGGAAAUAUUUCACUGAAAAUAUCCAAAGUGAAAUUUGCCGAUACAGGGACAUACAAAUGCUUUAUUCCAGAUUUGGAAAAAGAAGCUUUAGUCAAGCUAGUUGUUGCAUCAGAUGCUGCCACCUCACCUAUCAUCAGUUUCUCAGGGAUUGACAAAAACAGAG